rnacentral:rRNA from 1 species
UACGUAGGGUGCGAGCGUUAAUCGGAAUUACUGGGCGUAAAGCGUGCGCAGGCGGUUUGUUAAGCCAGAUGUGAAAUCCCCGGGCUCAACCUGGGAAUGGCAGUGGAUACUGGGAGGCUAGAGUGUGUCAGAGGAUGGUGGAAUUCCCGGUGUAGCGGUGAAAUGCGUAGAGAUCGGGAGGAACAUCAGUGGCGAAGGCGGCCAUCUGGGACAACACUGAUGCUGAGGCACGAAAGCGUGGGGAGCAAACAGG